UAUUGGGCUUGCUUUAGAAUCUGAACAGUCUAACCUGAUCUGGAGUCCCGUCCUCACUCUCCUCGCCUCUUUUCCCCUCCUCAUCCCUUGUUCUGCCACCACUGUAUUCCUUCUGACUCGAAUCCAAGGGAGAGACGACCUGAUCUGGUGGGCUUGUGGCGACAGAGAUGGCAGGGGAAUCCAGCGGAGGGGAGUGUAAGCAGAGAUACCAACCAUCAAAAUUCAGAGAGCAAUAUCAUCAUUGAAGACCUGGACCAAACUUUUCAUGGCAAUGUUUCUGAAGUUGAGGCCUCUAAUAUUGAUUUAACAGAAACGGAUGCAUCAGAUGGCAUGUUGCUUGAUGGUAUCAGAAAAUGCUGCAAAAGAGUGAUGAGAGUAAACAUGGGAGGAAUGUUUUGAAGGAGCAAAGCAGGAAGAUGGGAACAACCCAAGAAUGUUUGAAUAAAGGAAGAGCAAGUGCGUAUAUCAGAUUUAGCAUAGGGUGUUCUUCCAAGAUAGUCGACAGUGUUUGCAAAAGCAAUUACAGAAUGGAGCUUGUGAAGAACUCUGGAUUCGGAUACAUGCUUGUGAAGAACUCUGGAUUCAAGCAAUUUUGCCAAGGCCUACAUCUGGUCCCAAGCUUUUUUUUUACAACAAACAAACAAAUUAAGCCCACAAACACAAGGCCUAGGCUCAGGAAACUUGCCG